rnacentral:rRNA from 1 species
CCUACGGGAGGCUGCAGUGAGGAAUAUUGGUCAAUGGGCUAAGGCCUGAACCAGCCAAGUCGCGUGAGGGAAGACGGUCCUAUGGAUUGUAAACCUCUUUUGUCGGGGAGCAACGAGGCCACGUGUGGCCGAAGUGAGAGUACCCGAAGAAAAAGCAUCGGCUAACUCCGUGCCAGCAGCCGCGGUAAUACGGAGGAUGCGAGCGUUAUCCGGAUUUAUUGGGUUUAAAGGGUGCGUAGGCGGAACAUUAAGUCAGCGGUAAAAUCGAGGGGCUCAACCCCUUUAAGCCGUUGAAACUGGUGAUCUUGAGUGGGCGAGAAGUAUGCGGAAUGCGUGGUGUAGCGGUGAAAUGCAUAGAUAUCACGCAGAACUCCGAUUGCGAAGGCAGCAUACCGGCGCCCGACUGACGCUGAGGCACGAAAGCGUGGGGAUCGAACA